rnacentral:rRNA from 1 species
UGCAGAGGGUGCGAGCGUUAAUCGGAAUUACUGGGCGUAAAGCGCGCGUAGGCGGCUUUGCAAGUCGGGUGUGAAAUCCCCAGGCUCAACCUGGGAACUGCAUUCGAGACUGCAUUGCUAGAGUAUGGGAGAGGGAAGUGGAAUUUCCGGUGUAGCGGUGAAAUGCGUAGAUAUCGGAAGGAACAUCAGUGGCGAAAGCGACUUCCUGGACCAAUACUGACGCUCAUGUGCGAAAGCGUGGGGAGCAAACAGG